rnacentral:other from 1 species
ACGGUUAUAAAUCAACAUAUUGAUUUAUAAGCAUGGAAAUCCCCUGAGUGAAACAACGAAUUGCUGUGUGUAGUCUUUGCCCAUCUCCCACGAUGGGCUUUUUUUUGC